AUUGAACGCUGGCGGCAUGCUUUACACAUGCAAGUCGAACGGUAACAGGCCGCAAGGUGCUGACGAGUGGCGAACGGGUGAGUAAUGCAUCGGAACGUGCCCAGUCGUGGGGGAUAACUACUCGUAAGAGUAGCUAAUACCGCAUACGAUCUAUGGAUGAAAGCGGGGGACCGUAAGGCCUCGCGCGAUUGGAGCGGCCGAUGUCCGAUUAGGUAGUUGGUGGGGUAAAGGCUCACCAAGCCAAAGAGCUGUAGCUGGUCUGAGAGGACGACCAGCCACACUGGGACUGAGACACGGCCCAGACUCCUACGAGAGGCAGCAGUGGGGAAUUUUGGACAAUGGGCGCAAGCCUGAUCCAGCAAUGCCGCGUGCAGGAAGAAGGCCUUCGGGUUGUAAACUGCUUUUGUACGGAACGAAACGGCUCUGGUUAAUACCCGGGGCUAAUGACGGUACCGUAAGAAUAAGCACCGGCUAACUACGUG
rnacentral:rRNA from 1 species